rnacentral:misc_RNA from 1 species
GAUGAAGAACGUAGCGAAAUGCGAUAAGUAAUGUGAAUUGCAGAAUUCAGUGAACCAUCGAGUCUUUGAACGCAAGUUGCGCCCGAAGCCAUUAGGCCGAGGGCACGCCUGCCUGGGCGUCACACGUCGUUGCCCCCCCAUCUACUCCUUCGGGAUUGCGGGGGGCGGAUGAUGGCCUCCCGUGCGCCUCGUCGCGCGGUUGGCAUAAAUGCCAAGUCCUCGGCGACGCACGCCACGACAAUCGGUGGUUGCGAAACCUCGGUUGCCCGUCGUGUGCGGUCGUCGCGCAUCGAGGGCUCGAAAAAAUUGCCGGGCUCCGGCUCGGCUUUCAACGCGACCCCAGGUCAGGCGGGGUUACCCGCUGAAUUUAAGCAUAUCAAUAAGCGGAGGA